AAGUCGUAACAAGGUCUCCGUUGGUGAACCAGCGGAGGGAUCAUUACUGAGUUACCGCUCUAUAACCCUUUGUGAACGUACCUAACCGUUGCUUCGGCGGGCAGGGGAAGCCUCUCGCGGGCCUCCCCUCCCGGCGCCGGCCCCCACCACGGGGACGGGGCGCCCGCCGGAGGAAACCAAACUCUAUUUACACGACGUCUCUUCUGAGUGGCACAAGCAAAUAAUUAAAACUUUUAACAACGGAUCUCUUGGUUCUG
rnacentral:misc_RNA from 1 species